UUAGAUAGAUCCUCAUGUGUCCCAGGACUGGCCUGAUGACUCAGGCUGGCCUUGAACUGCUGAUCGUCCUGCUUUCACCUACCAAGUGCUAAGAUUAUAGGUGCACUUCCACCCUACCCCCAAAACCCCCACCACAUAUGCAGAUUUUUGUACCCCAAGGGUCACCCUCCACACCCACACGCUGCUCGCUGCUCGCUGCUCGGCUCCGCUCUUGCUAUUUUUCAGUGAGGAGGAGUUUCUCUCAGGCUUUCAGAGGCUGAGCAGCUCUGGGAGAAGAGGCUGGCUUCUAGUCAGCAGAUGCCCCACUUCACAAGGUUUUCUGACCCCAGCCCCAGAAUCACUCCGUUGCAUUUUAAAGAGGAACAAAACUGGUGUUGAGAAGGGUCAUUCAGCUCCCAAAGAAAGGAUCUCAACCCACAGUUUGAGCAGCUGGUACAGAGAGACAACCAAGACAGAUCGGUCUCCCAAAAUCUUAUCAGAAGUCGAAGUAGACUUUCCAAAGUGAACAUGUGAACAAGAGCCCGGAGAGUGGCUUUCUUUUUUUUUGUUUGUUUGUUUUGUUAUUUUUGUUUGUUUGUUUGUUUGUUGUUGUUGUUGUUGUUGGUUUUUCGAGACAGGGUUUCUCUAUAUAGCCCUGGCUGUCCUGGAACUCACUUUGUAGACCAGGCUGGCCUCUAACUCAGAAAUCCACCUGCGUCUGCCUCCUGAGUGCUGGGAUAAAGGUGUGUGCCACCUCCACCCUGCUGGAGUGGCUUUCUAAAGGAACCUGGACUAAACCUUCAAAAGGUUCAGUUCAGUAUGCCUCGUCUCAGAACCCCAGACAAAGCAGGGUGUGGUGACAUUAAUUAGCAAUCCCAGCUCUCACCAGGCAGAGGCAGGAAGGCAGCCUAGAAUUCAAGGCUAAUGAGGUAUUCUAGUGAGUACUUACAUAUGCUGGGCAGCCUAGCAUAUGUAAGAUAAAAAAAAAAAAAAUGGCAGUUGUGAACACCCUUUCCCCUGCUCUCGGGAGGCAGAGGUGGGCCAGUGAGACCUACAGAGUGAGAGACAACACUGUCUCAAAAAGAAAAUGAAAGAGGAAAAAAAAAGUCUGAGGACAUCCCUCAGUUGCUAGAGUCUAGUUUGCAUGCAGCCCUGAAUUCCAGCCAUCCUUCAGCCCCACAAAAACAGGUCGUGGUGGCUCACACAGAGCAUUUCAGCAUUCCGGAGGUGGAGGAAGGAGGAUUAGGAGUUCAAGGUCACCUUGGACAAAGCUAGCUGGAAGAGAUCUGGGCAACAUGAAACCCUACCUCUCCCAUCCCUCUCCCCCACAAAAACUGAGACAGUGGUGCUCACUGCUUCGAUCCCAGGGCUCCAUAGAAAAAUCCUAUCUUGAAACACAUUUUUAAAAAGAAAGAAAGGAAGGAAGGGAGGAAGGAAGGAAGGAAGGAAACACAUUAUAAAGAAAUCCUAAGAUAAUGCUUCCUUUCCUUCUUUCCUAUCUAGGUCACUGAGCCACCAUCUCUUGUUAGCACAAAUGCCUAGAAUCAACAGACGACACAGGACAUUGUAAGAUGCUGUGGAAAGUAUAGGCUGUUCAGAAAACCACCUAGCAGCUCCCAAAAGGUUCAACAACAACGACAGAAGGAAGAGCCACAUAACCCAGGGACUUGGACCUCCAGCACUCAGAACCCGGCCUAGACCCAAGGCUCUCUGGAUAAGGUCCAGGUAAACUGCCCGGAGGACACUUCUGUUCUCCGGAAGCUUUCGAUGGAGGCCUCAGGAAAAAGCAGACAAGAAAACGCUAGCGGCUGGCAACAAAGGCGAGAUAAUUACCACCUCUAAAGAAUGGGCUACUGAGUCAGAGAGGACUUCUGGUUUCCCAAAAUAGGCCAGAGUCUGUCUGUUCUCUUGGUUUGCCUCUGGUAGGUCAAGAGUCAGGAGUUUAAAAGGCUUCAGGUCCCCCCUGUGGAAACGCUCCAUCCCAUCCAUCCCUCCUUUAUUUUGAUGUUUAUUAAAUGUACAUAUUCACCUUACCUCCCAAUAUCAGCGCUUCCCCCCCCAU